GCUGGCGGCGUGCUUAACACAUGCAAGUCGUACGAGAAAGCUUCAGCUUGCUGGAGCGAGUAAAGUGGCGCACGGGUGAGUAACGCGUAGGUAAUCUACCCCUGAAUUUGGGAUAACAUUGCGAAAGUGAUGCUAAUACCGGAUGACAUCUAUUUUACUGCGGUGAAAGAGAUCAAAGAUGGCCUCUAUGUAUAAGCUAUCGUUUGGGGAUGAGCCUGCGUACCAUUAGCUAGUUGGUGGGAUAAAGGCCCACCAAGGCGACGAUGGUUAGCUGGUCUGAGAGGAUGAUCAGUCACACUGGAACUGGAACACGGUCCAGACUCCUACGGGAGGCAGCAGUGAGGAAUUUUGCGCAAUGGGGGCAACCCUGACGCAGCGACGCCGCGUGAGUGAAGAAGGUUUUCGGAUCGUAAAGCUCUGUCGAGUGGGAAGAAGAUAAAUCAGGUUAAUACCCUGGGUUGUUGACGGUACCACAGAAGGAAGCACCGGCUAACUCCGUGCCAGCAGCCGCGGUAAUACGGAGGGUGCUAGCGUUAUUCGGAAUUAUUGGGCGUAAAGGGCGUGUAGGCGGUCCUAUAAGUCAGAUGUGAAAUCCCGGGGCUCAACCCCGGAACUGCAUUUGAAACUGUAGGACUUGAGUAUGGGAG
rnacentral:rRNA from 1 species